AAUCAGCUCUGUGCAACCCUUUUGACCAAUUCUGAGAAGAUCAGAUCACCAUUCUGGAUGUUCAGAAAAGAGUCUCUGAGCCUUCAAGAUUUGUGUGCAGGAGCUUCAACUACUCAAGGUCAACUGUCCUCCAGAAGUGAUGUCAGACGAUCAACAGUAGCCUUGAAUGCUAUGUCACCAUGCCUACCUCAUCACCUCAUGUCACCUCAUCAUCUCACAUCACCACAAAGAAAGGUUUCACCAUCAAAUCAACAAACUAGAUGAUUCCUGAAGUCACUUUCAAUGGUAAUAUAUUCCAUCAUUCUAACAUCUACUUGGAUAUUGCCAAAAUAUGAGCACUCCUUUCAAAGUGUCCAAUUGAAUAAAAUUUAUAAGCAAGUACAUGUGUUCUAACACCAGAAUUUUAUGUUUUAUCUAAA